CCCUCCUCACUAUGUCAAACCUUGCUUGAUAAAUCGGCCUUGAUGUCAUGACCCAUAUCAGAGGUAUGCACAUAAACCAUACCUUGCUGGUUCCACUCAAGAUCUGUACUAGUGCUAGUCAUCAGUUUGCAGGGAGAAGAGAUGCUUGCCUUGUUUGUGUGUGUACGGGGCUGAUAAGUUCAUGCUGCUGUUGACUAUUUGAUUGUCUGGUGAUCCAGAUUACAUGGUGAAGAAGCUCCGUGUCGACAAGAGCAUCAUCCUGAAGCACUGCAUCCUCAACUACAAGCAGUACGGAACCACCAUGGCUGUGGGUGCGUAUGAUUUGGAUCUGCAGUAAAAAACGGUUCUUUUGUUUGUAUCUAGUCUUGACCAUGAAUGUAUAUUGUGAUCCUUGAUGCAGGCCGUAGGGUACCAAUUAUACUAUGGUGAUUUUCACGUCCACGGGUACUGCCUGCCAGCUGUUUGUUGGUCAAGAUUACAUGGUGGAGAUGCUCAGCGUCGACAAGGGCGUGAUCCUGGAGCUCUGCGCCCUCAGCUACAACAAUUACAGAAGCCCCGUGCCUAGGUUGUAGGUGCGUAUGAUUUGAAUCCGUUGUAAAGAUCAUUUUUUUUGUCUCUAGUCUUGACCUUGCAUGCAUCUUAUGAAAGUGUGACAGGAUACAACUUUGCGCAGCAAGAGCUUGUUUGAUCUAUAGCACAAACUUUCCUGAGUAUAUCUGUUUCUACCAUUGGAGUGUCAUUAGGCACUCAUUAUUCAUGUUGUCGAUUUUUUUUCUUUCCAUUGGUUAUAUAUAUACAGCGACUGAGCUUUUCUUCUCCCACCUUUUCAGGCAUAUCACAGAGGGAGGCAGCAAGGAGAGAAUCUAGGAAAAUGUGAACUAUUUUAUUUGUCCUUUGCCGAUGGAUGAAUUCCGUUUGGUACCAUGUUGUGUUGAUGCUGUUCUCGAUUUGUUAUGCAUUCGCAUAUGCUUGUUGGUGGCAAGACGAGAAAAGGCGGUCGUUGAAUUGGGUUGACACAAGUGGCAAGGCGCCGAAGAGAGGCGAGAUUCAGACCGGAAGCACUGUGUAAAAUGAGCUGGACUUGCAAAUUGUGUUUAGGCUGGGUGUUGUUGAACUCAGGAACCUGUACCUGUUGAAAAUUGAUGUCAUUUACUCGUUCAUGUAUGUAUUGCGACCAUGAUUGAUUUUCAGAAUCUCGGUUGAAGAUUGUCUCACGAAGUGAGCGAGUCACAUAUUGAAACCAAAGUUUUAAAUAGCGCGCUAAGCAUC
rnacentral:lncRNA from 1 species